UGGGUUAAACGGCCGCGGUAUUUUAACCGUGCGAAGGUAGCGCAAUCACUUGUCCUUUAAAUGAAGACCUGUAUGAAUGGCUAGACGAGGGCUUAACUGUCUCCUCUCCCCCGUCAAUGAAAUUGAUCUCCCCGUGCAGAAGCGGGGAUUUUUUCAUAAGACGAGAAGACCCUAUGGAGCUUUAGACACUAGACAGCCCACGUCAAACAACCUUAACCUGCUAGGCGAGAACAUUGUGGCCCCUGUCUCCCCUGUCUUCGGUUGGGGCGACCGCGGAGGAAAAAAAGCCUCCAUGUGGAAUGAAGAUACCACCUUCACAGCUCAGAGCCGCAGCUCUACGCACCAGAAAUUCUGACCAAAAAUGAUCCGGCACAUGCCGAUUAACGGAACAAGUUACCCUAGGGAUAACAGCGCAAUCCUCUCCCAGAGUCCCUAUCGACGAGGGGGUUUACGACCUCGAUGUUGGAUCAGGACAUCCUAUUGGUGCAGCCGCUAAUAAGGGUUCGUUUGUUCAACGAUUAAAGUCCUACG
rnacentral:rRNA from 1 species